AUACGGAGGGUGCAAGCGUUAAUCGGAAUUACUGGGCGUAAAGCGUACGUAGGCGGUCCGUUAAGUUAGAUGUGAAAGCCCCGGGCUUAACCUGGGAACUGCAUUGAAAACUGGCGGACUAGAGUUGAGUAGAGGGGAGUGGAAUUUCAGGUGUAGCGGUGAAAUGCGUAGAGAUCUGAAGGAACACCAGUGGCGAAGGCGACUCCCUGGACUCGAACUGACGCUGAGGUGCGAAAGCGUGGGUAGCAAACGGGAUUAGAUACCCCAGUAGUCC
rnacentral:rRNA from 1 species